GGACCGUAGAUGUAUGCUUUGCCUGCUAUCUCUUACCCAUGUCUUUUGAGUACCUUACGUUUCCUCGGCGGGUCCGCCCGCCGAUUGGACAAUUUAAACCAUUUGCAGUUGCAAUCAGCGUCUGAAAAAACUUAAUAGUUACAACUUUCAACAACGGAUCUCUUGGUUCUGGCAUCGAUGAAGAACGCAGCGAAAUGCGAUAAGUAGUGUGAAUUGCAGAAUUCAGUGAAUCAUCGAAUCUUUGAACGCACAUUGCGCCCCUUGGUAUUCCAUGGGGCAUGCCUGUUCGAGCGUCAUUUGUACCUUCAAGCUCUGCUUGGUGUUGGGUGUUUGUCUCGCCUCUGCGUGUAGACUCGCCUCAAAACAAUUGGCAGCCGGCGUAUUGAUUUCGGAGCGCAGUACAUCUCGCGCUUUGCACUCAUAACGACGACGUCCAAAAGUACAUUUUUACACUCUUGACCUCGGAUCAGGUAGGGAUACCCGCUGAACUUAAGCAUAUCAAUAAGCGGAGGAAAA
rnacentral:rRNA from 1 species